GAGACAAAAUUGACAUUUGUGAGACAAAAUUGACUUUUGUGAGACAAAAUUGACAAAAUUGAAUUUUGUCUCACAAAAUUGAGAUUUGUCGUACAAAAGUCAAUUUUGUCUCACAAAAGUCAAUUUUGUCUCACAAAUGUC
rnacentral:sRNA from 1 species